rnacentral:Y_RNA from 1 species
GGCUGGUCCGAUGGUAGUUGGUUAUCAGAACUUAUUAACAUUAGUGCCACUAAAGUUGGUAUAUAACCCCUUCACUGCUAAAUUUGGCUGGCUAUAC